rnacentral:rRNA from 1 species
UACGUAGGGGGCGAGCGUUGUCCGAAGUUACUGGGCGUAAAGCGCACGUAGGCGGCUCAUCAAGUUGUAUCUAAAAGGCGGCAGCUCAACUGCCGAGUGCGGUGCAAGACUGGUGAGCUUGAGGCAAGCAGAAGAGUGUGGAACUCCGAGUGUAGAGGUGAAAUUCGUAGAUAUCGGAAGAACACCAGUGGCGAAGGCGACAUACUGGUCCAUUACUGACGCUGAGG